GUCUCCCGGGGCUGGGCGGCGGGACCUUUGGCGGGGUAAAUGGCGGGGGGCGGCCGAGCCGCUGGGCUGCUUCCCCGCUUCCCGCCGUGUCGGGCGGGUGAGCGCGGUGAGCCUCUCUCGCCGCAGAAGCUGAACCUGAAAGAUUUCGGCAGCGGAGCCCUUCGGCGUGGUGUGGGAAAGGCGAACAAAAAUAACUUUUAAACUCCUCAACCGGGCAUUUCCAGGCUCCUGAUUUGUCCUGCUGUUUUAUCACCGUGUUUCUUGACCAUCUGGCUCUUAGGGUGGGAAAGGAGCUGUGCAGAACCCAACCAUGCAACCUGAGUCCCCCUCCAUGAGUCCUGAAGCCCGUAAUGGCACGUCACAGCUGCUCAGAACCUUUAUGUUCAUGUUCUUCAAAAGGUUUCCUGCUAGAAAGGUUCAGGAGAACUAUGUACAUAUCAUGAUUUCAAAACUGGAAGUUAUAAAGCAGACAAUUUUUUUAAAAUUUUUUUUUAAGAAAGGAGAGGUUUUACCAUCAUACAUUUCUCCAAAUUUUGAAUUAUUCUAAGAAAGGCAGCUGGCAAGUACUGCUCUUUUUUUUUUUUUUUUUUUUUUUCUUUGAAUAUGCAAGUAAUUGAUCCUGUUGUUUCAGAGAAGUGUAAACAUUGGAAGGAAUAUAAAAACAUUUGAUUUUUGUUUUUAAAGGAACAUCAUAUUUCAUUAUUUACUUACGCUUCCUACAGUUCAUGAAACAGUUUGUGGAAGCUAGAUAGCAUUGCAUAUCUGGCAUUUCAUUUCUCAUUGAAUAAAUUGUAAAUGAUGGGAUAUAAAGAUACAUUUAUCAUUAUCAUAAUAAUAGGGCAAUGCUAGUUAAUAAUAUGCAGACAAAUAUAAAGAAAAAAAUACCUGGCAUUAAAGAUUACAUUAGUAUGGCUCACAUGCCACUUACUUCUGCUUGUUCUUCCUUUCAAUUUUGGUUAAAGUGGGAUUUUCCAAAGCACAAGAAUUUGUUUACCCCACUCCUUGUUCCUUCAAAAUAGAGCCCAUAAAAUCAGACUGUGUGUUCUGUGUUGUCCCAUAUUUUUACUUUUGUUUUCUAAUUGGGAAGAAAAAUAAAAGAUGGAAAGUUCCAAAAUAUUUUGGUUUAAAUAUGUGGGCUUGGGACAUCUUUGAUGUAACAUCAUAACACAGCUAGAAGGGACUCUAUUGUUCUUGAUGGAAAAUGUAAUCCAUUCAGGAACCCCAGAUGAUGGGGGGAAAAUGAGGGACCUAAACCAUGACAAACUCAUGAUGAGUAAUGACAUACCAUCCUGAAGCAAAACAUUUAGAUUCACUUGGACAGUUCAAAAUAUUUUGAUUUUUUAUUUUCCCAAAGGGACAUUACAUUGUUUUGGCAUAACCAGCUUUUUCCUGUGGAAAAAAAUCAACAUUACAGAAACCACUUUUCUAUUAAAAGCUAUGAACAGAAAAUUCUGGAGCAGCAAUAGAGGGAAGCAGUCAAGCCAAAACUAAGCGCAUUUGAAAAUGCCCUCCCUAGAGAAUCUUAGGACUGCUCCAACCUAGCAAUAAGAAUUUUAUAUGAAGGUAAGUAUAUUUCAUAGAUACCAAACAUAACAUGAUGAAAUCCAUGUGGCACAACUUAGUAUGUUUCAACAUACUUAAAAUAUGAUGUUUCACAGAGGCACUCAAAAACUCUGCUUAAAAAAACAUAAAAGAGCUCUGAUGGAAGGCUUGGGCCGUUCAGAUGAAAAAUCACAUCUGAGAUUUCACAGUUGUUUUGCUAGGACUGGGCAUUUUUAAAAAAACUGAACACUGCUUUUAAAAAAAAGUCACUGUCCACCAAGCAAAGGCUUGUAUGUUUGGAAACAUACUUUUAGCUUUAUAAAGCAAAAUUAAUCGUUAUUUAGUAAGUUCAGUUCUAAAAAAAUGGGCAUCAACCUCUUUUUAACAACGACAGCAAAGUAUUUGGGGAAAAAUGUGAGAUGCGGUACUCUUAAGGAAUUUUGAAGAUGUGGGUAAUUAGGAUAACCUGCCAGGCCAUUUUAUAGCCUUGUAACAGUGGCCAUGAGUCACUGAUUUUCCAGAACUGAUGGCCAUCUUAAUGUCUGUUUUUCAGGGCAACUUCUGCUUUAAAUGUGACAGACUUUGUCCUGGCUUCUUCUGUAUCAGGACAAGCUUCAUCCUGACAGUACUGGGUAGAAGACAGAGCAUGUUAUUUCCCAUUGCCCAAGUUAAUUACGUGUUUUUCUAAGUAUAAUAAAUGGGUGAUUCACCCAAGUUUAGGGGCAGAAGUGACCAACAGACCAGCCAGUGUCAAGCACUCUGAUUAUUUAUCAGCACCUCUCAGAUGAUAGAUGAUAAGCCAGACUGAAGUGUCCCAUAUUGGUCAGAAGGCACUGAGACAUGGGGAGUGCACAGCUUUGGGUGACAUGUGCUUAAGGGACCAAGGAGCAAGAAGAGCAGAGCAACGGACCGAAUCAAGAGCUCAACAGGUAUUUGAAGAUGACUGUUGGCACAUUUGGUCAGCUAAGUUAUACAAUCUUUCACCUGGGUCUUGCAGGGCAUGCAAGUAUGUACAGGUGAAUGGGCAAAAAGAGUUACCCUCAUAGAUGGAAAAGUUGCUUCUUGGACCUCAACAUGCAUUGCUUUGUGCCGCCAAAUGAAGGGCUCCUUUUAUCAUACUUCAAUCACAGGAGCUUGCUCCUUCUCUAGAGCGAGUACGGAUGUGAAGUUUAUGCAGCUGCAUUCCUCUUUCAAGUUAAUUAUAUCACUCUAAGCGCUUCAGCUAUGAUCCCACACUUCCGUGUCUUGCGCUUGAACCAGCCUGCCUGUUUCCCUGGGUGCCUGCCAUAGAGGUUACCUCCCUGCUGAAAUCCUGGCACAUUACCUAGUCCUCUGUAAUCCAAGUUUCUUUCAAGCUCAUGUACCCAGAAUUCGCCACUGUAGCCAUGCCUCAUGUCUCUGCAAGAUUACAGCUGAUUUCCCAGUCUCCCUUGGGGAAAGGAGCAUGUCCAGUCUCAUUUUAAAAAAAGCUGUUGCUGAAAGCCAAGGAUCUACAAGCAGAUUUAACUACCUAAAAUAGUUCCCAUGUGGCUAGUAAAUAAUGAAAAGCCAUUUUCAACUCCUAGUAUUGAUCCCCACUUUAUAAUCCUGAGCAUCUCUAUCAGAUACAAUCCCACAUCCCUUGCACCAGCUCCUUAUUGCAUACUCCAAAUGUAAUGCCAUUUCCAACCCUAGCUUUAAACAGAAGUUGACUUUAGGAUGUAUGGGACUUGCGAAAUGCUGGAAACAAAAAUCUGUCCUUUCCACCCAGCAUCCAUGAUCCCAGUCCUAGAAUAGCUACAAAACAGGGGCCUCAGUUUCUCCCAGAUCAUCUUAAACUCGCUGUGGCCAUGGCACUGUUCACAAGCCUUCUGACCUUGAAAAAUCCACAAAAAACCCCAGAUCUUCAUUUACAUGUGACCUGAAUCCUACCAAAUACCCUAUCCCUCCUUCCAGUUUAAACAUUACCCAUGGAUCCCCACUUGUACUCCAAUUAAGAUAAUUGGGUGCUCCUGGUAUUAGGCUUCGUAAAACUCAACAAUCAGCAAAACUCUGUUUCAGCUCAUUUCUUCAGAAACCCUAAUUUGAAUAUUAAUCAUUUUCUGCUGGAUGCAGCCUUCCCAAAUCUUGCAUGCAUCACUCAUCCCUCCCAGCAGAAGGUCUUACCUAGUACCAUGCAUCUUAGAGGCACUAGCAAUAAUUGUGACUCACUUGUUGCAGUAUUGCUGGUGAAUUUUAGCUGUACUUGUCAUCAUGGCUGCGUCAUGGGCCCAGAAUCACCAACUCCUUACCUCUAAACAUUGUCCUUCUCCUCAUGGAUGCUGCAGGAUCUUGUUGAAUUUCUUCAUUCCUUGCGGUCAUGAAAAUAGGAAAACAUCUGGGGGUGGUGGCUAUGAACUGAGAAGGGUCAGUUCUGAGCCUAGUGUUAGGAUUGAAGUAAAGAUUUGGGUUUUGAAAAAGAAAGUGUGAAAUUCUGUCCUUAUUGUGUAUUCCUACAAGAACAUUAAAACUAGAAUGGGGCUACUGCUGGUAGGGGACAUUUCAGAGUAACAGGACAGGAUAGGAUGUGGGUCCUUGCAGUGAAACCUAGAGUUGCAGCUAGAGGUUCAGAUGGAAAGCGCAGAUCCAGAAAGGUAGCAGGGGAUGGAGAUGCUAGCCACAACUGCAUAUUAAACUCUGAGCACUGGUUAAAGCUAGGGUUAGAGUUUGGCCCUAAGUUUAAGACUGCUGGAUCCAAGAAAUGCACAGGGUUAAGCUGCAGACUAGCGCUGGUAGGGGUAAAUAGCUCACUGUUUGGGCUGGUGUUGGAGGGGAUUGGUAGGAUACAUGUAAAUGCUGUGGUUGGGUUAAGGUUAACAUUAGAGUUUGGUUCACAGGGAUCUGAAGAAUUUGGGAAAAUUCAGGAUCUUCUAAAACCUGUAGGACUUUGAUGAGUAAUGAAGCAAGGG